UGUGGCGUCAAUGGAGUGCGUUAGUGAGAUCUUUCACAUUUCUUCUUCAUUAUGGAGAAUUACUWGUUCUGAAAACKAACGUUUCUCCGUCUCAUAAUUUWAUYCAAUUAAUUCAGGUUUGGAUGAACGGACCAACGGGACUGCCAUGGGCAAGUCCCUUGACGGGUACCAGGAAUUGUAGAAGGACAACCAGAAGAUGUGGUGGAAGUUGUCGAACCAGAUCAGAACGCCUUCGAGGACCACCUCCAUGCAAGGAUGUGGAGGUUUUUGACCAGGUGAGACUGAACAUGGACAAGGCGCAUGAGAAAAAGGAGAGUCACCGGAGGAGAAUCAAGGGGACCAAAUGCUUCGACAUCUGGGCGAAUGACUUGGCUUGGAAGAAGGACGAAAGGAAAGUGAGACCUGGGAAAGCUUGGUGCUCUUUUGCUCCUAGCUGGGGUCAACAUCCGUUAAGGGACCAUCCCUUACCUCCCUCAUCAACCCCACUGACAUAAAAAAUUGACAUGUAUCCUUUCUUUUCUGUCUGCCAUUAACAUUAUUGCAUGUCUAAUCAAACAGUUAAAUUAAAUCAUUCAAUAACUGUAUUUUGACAUACAUGAUAAUCCUUUKACCUGUGUGUUGGCUUGUUUACGUAUGUCUCUCCUACCUUUUUCCCUUUACUCUGCUCCUG